UAGGCUGCAACUCGCCUACACGAAGUCGGAAUCGCUAGUAAUCGCGGAUCAGCAUGCCGCGGUGAAUACGUUCCCGGGCCCUGUACACACCGCCCGUCACACCAUGGGAGUUUGUAACGCCCAAAGUCGGUGGCCUAACCUUUAUGGAGGGAGCCGCCUAAGGCGGGACAGAUGACUGGGGUGAAGUCGUAACAAGGUAAC
rnacentral:rRNA from 1 species